rnacentral:rRNA from 1 species
UACGAAGGGGGCUAGCGUUGCUCGGAAUUACUGGGCGUAAAGCGCACGUAGGCGGGUUGUUAAGUCGGGGGUGAAAUCCUGGAGCUCAACUCCUGAACUGCCUUCGAAACUGGCGAUCUUGAGUCCGGGAGAGGUGAGUGGAACUGCGAGUGUAGAGGUGAAAUUCGUAGAUAUUCGCAAGAACACCAGUGGCGAAGGCGGCUCACUGGCCCGGUACUGACGCUGAGGAACGAAAGCUAGGGGAGCAAACAGG